rnacentral:misc_RNA from 2 species
AACGCACAUUGCGCCCCCUGGUAUUCCGGGGGGCAUGCCUGUCCGAGCGUCAUUGCUGCCCUCAAGCCCGGCUUGUGUGUUGGGUCGCCGUCCCCCUCUCCGGGGGGACGGGCCCGAAAGGCAGCGGCGGCACCGCGUCCGAUCCUCGAGCGUAUGGGGCUUUGUCACAUGCUCUGUAGGAUUGGCCGGCGCCUGCCGACGUUUUCCAACCAUUCUUUCCAGGUUGACCUCGGAUCAGGUAGGGAUACCCGCUGAACUUAA